rnacentral:tRNA from 1 species
GGGGUUUUAGUAAGGCAAGAAAAAUAGAGGUAAAUAGCCAUCUCUGGUCUCCGGAACCAGAGGUCGCGCGUUCGAGUCGCGCAUCGCCCGCCA